rnacentral:rRNA from 2 species
GCAGCGGGUCCUUCGGGAUGCCGGCGAGCGGCGGACGGGUGAGUAAUGCCUAGGAAUCUGCCUGGUAGUGGGGGAUAACUCGGGGAAACUCGAGCUAAUACCGCAUACGUCCUACGGGAGAAAGCGGGGGAUCUUCGGACCUCGCGCUACCAGAUGAGCCUAGGUCGGAUUAGCUAGUUGGUGAGGUAAAGGCUCACCAAGGCUACGAUCCGUAGCUGGUCUGAGAGGAUGAUCAGCCACACUGGAACUGAGACACGGUCCAGACUCCUACGGGAGGCAGCAGUGGGGAAUAUUGGACAAUGGGCGAAAGCCUGAUCCAGCCAUGCCGCGUGUGUGAAGAAGGUCUUCGGAUUGUAAAGCACUUUAAGUUGGGAGGAAGGGCAGUAAGCUAAUACCUUGCUGUUUUGACGUUACCGACAGAAUAAGCACCGGCUAACUUCGUGCCAGCAGCCGCGGUAAUACGAAGGGUGCAAGCGUUAAUCGGAAUUACUGGGCGUAAAGCGCGCGUAGGUGGUUUGAUAAGUUGGAUGUGAAAGCCCCGGGCUCAACCUGGGGAAUUGCAUCC